rnacentral:rRNA from 1 species
GACGAACGCUGGCGGCGUGCUCAACACAUGCAAGUCGAACGAUGAAGCCGGAGCUUGCUCUGGUGAAUUAGUGGCGAACGGGUGAGUAACACGUGAGUAACCUGCCCUUGACUCUGGGAUAACUGCUAGAAAUGGUAGCUAAUACCGGAUACGACCCUCGGCGGCAUCGCCAGGGGGUGGAAAGAAUUUCGGUCAAGGAUGGACUCGAGGCCUAUCAGCUAGUUGGUGAGGUAACGGCUCACCAAGGCGACGACGGGUAGCCGGCCUGAGAGGGUGACCGGCCAAACUGGGACUGAGACACGGCCCAGACUCCUACGGGAGGCAGCAGUGGGGAAUAUUGCACAAUGGGCGCAAGCCUGAUGCAGCAACGCCGCGUGAGGGAUGACGGCCUUCGGGUUGUAAACCUCUUUUAGUAGGGAAGAAGCGAAAGUGACGGUACCUGCAGAAAAAGCACCGGCUAACUACGUGCCAGCAGCCGCCGUAA